ensembl:snRNA LOC120101108 U2 spliceosomal RNA
AUCGCUUCUCGGCCUUUUGGCUAAGAUCAAGUGUAGAAAAGGAGGAUCAGGUAUCCAUUCUUUUUCUUACUUCAUGUGUGAUUGUAUGUAGCACCUGAAUUACACUGUUUCUUAGCAACAGUUUCCUGGACACUGUAGAGUGAUAAAAACAGG